rnacentral:rRNA from 1 species
CCCUUAGAUGUCCUGGGCUGCACGCGCGCUACACUGAUGUGUCCAGUAAGCACCUAACCUCUUCCGAAGGGAACGGGUAACCUUAGCAAAGCACAUCGUGAUGGGGAUAGAUUAUUGCAAUUAUUAGUCUUGAACGAGGAAUUCCUAGUAAGCACAAGUCAUCAGCUUGUGUUGAUUACGUCCCUGCCCUUUGUACACACCGCCCGUCGCUCCUACCGAUUGAAUGUUCCGGUGAAUACUUCGGACUGCGAGGUCUGCAGUUUCUGCGUUCCUUGCGGAAAGUUGAAUAAACCUUAACAUUUAGAGGAAGGAGAANUCGUAACA